rnacentral:rRNA from 1 species
GCUGCGGUUAUACUUUUAAAUAAAGUUCUAUUAAAAAACAAUUUAAAAACACAAUGUAACAGUCUGUUAAAAGAAUUUAAUUAUAAUUGUUAAAAAUAUAAAAGUAAAUAACAAACUUGGUAGCCCCCAGUUAUGAAUAAUAAUUGAAGUAGUAUAAUAAACUUAAAUUAUGUGGCAGUUAUUUAUUCCGUUUAGAGAAUUUUGGGCUAUAAAUUGAUACCCCACAAUUUUAUUAAUUAAUUUUAUUUGUGUGUGGUUGUUAAAAAAUAAAUUUAGUUUUAGAUUUUACUCAAAUAUCAUAUAAUUUAAUUUAAAAGUCUGAAAUGCAACAUUACUUUAUAAGAAAUUUAGGAUUUAAAAGUAGGGAAGGAAAAUUAUCGAAUUGGUUAUAAAUAAGGUUCAUAUUGUCCGUCACUCUUUUAGAGAUAAGUCGUA